UACGAACCGUACGAACGUUAUUCGGAAUCACUGGGCUUAAAGGGUGCGUAGGCGGCGCGGAAAGUUGGGUGUGAAAUCCCUCGGCUCAACCGAGGAAUUGCGCCCAAAACUACCGUGCUUGAGGGAGACAGAGGUGAGCGGAACUAAGGGUGGAGCGGUGAAAUGCGUUGAUAUCCUUAGGAACACCGGUGGCGAAAGCGGCUCACUGGGUCUCUUCUGACGGCUGAGGCACGAAAGCUAGGGGAGCGAACGGG
rnacentral:rRNA from 1 species